AACGAACGCUGGCGGCAGGCUUAACACAUGCAAGUCGAGCGCCCCGCAAGGGGAGCGGCAGACGGGUGAGUAGCGCGUGGGAAUCUACCCAAUACUACGGAAUAGCUCCGGGAAACUGGAAUUAAUACCGUAUGUGCCCUACGGGGGAAAGAUUUAUCGGUAUGUGGAUGAGCCCGCGUUGGAUUAGCUAGUUGGUGGGGUAAUGGCCUACCAAGGCGACGAUCCAUAGCUGGUCUGAGAGGAUGAUCAGCCACACUGGGACUGAGACACGGCCCAGACUCCUACGGGAGGCAGCAGUGGGGAAUAUUGGACAAUGGGCGCAAGCCUGAUCCAGCCAUGCCGCGUGUGUGAUGAAGGCCUUAGGGUUGUAAAGCACUUUUGUCCGGGAAGAUAAUGACUGUACCGGAAGAAUAAGCCCCGGCUAACUUCGUGCCAGCAGCCGCCGUAAAAC
rnacentral:rRNA from 1 species